rnacentral:tRNA from 2 species
GGAGAGGUGUCCGAGCUGGCCGAAGGAGCACGACUGGAAAUCGUGUAGACGGGUAAAAACCCGUCUCGAGGGUUCGAAUCCCUCCCUCUCCGCCA